rnacentral:rRNA from 1 species
CAGUCGCCACGGUAAUACAGAGGGUGCGAGCGUUAAUCGGAUUUACUGGGCGUAAAGCGUGCGUAGGCGGCUAAUUGAGUCGGAUGUGAAAUCCCCGAGCUUAACUUGGGAAUUGCAUUCGAUACUGGUUAGCUAGAGUGUGGGAGAGGAUGGUAGAAUUCCAGGUGUAGCGGUGAAAUGCGUAGAGAUCUGGAGGAAUACCGAUGGCGAAGGCAGCCAUCUGGCCUAACACUGACGCUGAGGUACGAAAGCAUGGGGAGCAAACAGGAUUAGAUACCCCCGUAGUCCCUGUCUCUUAUAA